rnacentral:rRNA from 1 species
UACGGGGGGUGCAAGCGUUGUUCGGAAUUACUGGGCGUAAAGGGCUCGUAGGCGGCCAACUAAGUCAUACGUGAAAUCCCUCGGCUUAACCGGGGAACUGCGUCUGAUACUGGAUGGCUUGAGAUUGGGAGAGGGAUGCGGAAUUCCAGGUGUAGCGGUGAAAUGCGUAGAUAUCUGGAGGAACACCGGUGGCGAAGGCGGUUCUCUGGGCAUUACCUGACGCUGAGGAGCGAAAGUGUGGGGAGCGAACAGG